rnacentral:lncRNA from 1 species
GGGUGUUUUCCCAUUCUCAUGUAUACAACUUUUAGUAGUUGGGGCUGUAGUACCGCCAGCCAGAAAACUCGUGGAGAUAAAGAUAACUUCUCUGGAUUUGUUUAGCGGUGAGAUAAGUACGAUGCAUUCAAGUCAAACCUGCCAGCCAGAAAACUCGUGGAGAUAAAGAUAACUUCUCUGGAUUUGUUUAGCGGUGAGAUAAGUACGAUGCAUUCAAGUCAAACCUGAUAGUGGAUGUAUCAAGAGACCAUGACUGUACUUGUGAAAUGAAUUGCUGUCUAAUACUUCAAUUAUGUGACGGCUCUAGUACUAGUUAUAUAGGAGUGUAGUGUUUCAUUCUCUCAGUCUCAAGCUGUGGGGAACCCAUCUGCAUCCAUUUGAAUGUACAAGGUCUAAAAACUUCAACCACAAAUCCUUUGCAUGAUCAAAAUCAGCUUUUGUUUUUAGAACUCAUGGUUCUCUCAGUGAUAACUAUUUCUUUCAAUCAUGUGUUUAACUUUCUUGCUUCUUCUGAUGCACUUGCCCAUUAAAACCAAUUUUGGUGAAUAGAACUCACAACUCUUUUGGGGAUAUUAUGUCUUCAUACUCUUCUGGUUUUCUUUGCUUCUUGUGCAGAACACAACUGGAAGUGCUGCAAAGAAGCCAAAAGUAGCUGUUGCUUCAGUGUUCGGUGAUGAUAGUGAUGAAGAACAGUGAAAAUCAAUCCCCAUGCCUGCUUACCAGCAAUGUAUUUUACGUAGUCUCCCAUAAAUUUUUGUUGUCUAUGUAAUAUGUCACCAUUGCCCAUUGUAUGAUGUUGUUAGUUCAAAGUGGCUAAGAAAAUAUACAUCACUAUUUUUAUUUUCUUGUUUGUUUAUGCUGAUGAGUUUGCCUAUUCUGUAACCUUUAAAGAAUCACUAAUUGUUUUCAACACUAACAAAUUCUUCAUGCCCCUUAAAAUCCAUUCGUAUCUAGUUACGGUGCAACAGGUGCACCGUGCGCUCUUUUCGUCUUUUUGUGCUUCUGCCAUUGGAUCAGAUGCAAUAGUUUCAAUGGCGUGGUUGUGUUUAUUUGUUUAUUAAUAAUGCAGUCCAUAUUAUUUGUUGAAAAUUUAGAAAAGUUGAGGGCUUAUUCACUAUUAUUUUUGAAUUUGUAUCUUCUGAAAACAAAAAUGAGAAGAAAAAGGUGUUUUGUAGUUGUAUUUAAAAUUUAAGUAUGCGUCUGAUAUUAUUUUUUGUAUGUUAUAUUUUAAAUUGAAAAUAGUAAUAUGUGUUUGUUAAGCAUAAUUAAAAAUGACAAAAAUAAGAAUUAAUGUUCCGUAGUACUAUUUUGAAAAAUAAUUUUUACUAAACAUUUAAGCUAUACUUGGGAAAUAAUUGUUUAACUAAUACGUAUACAAUCAUAACAUAGAUAGUUUAAACAAAAUAAUUCUAAAAAAUUACAUCAUAAUAAAAAAUUUUAGUAUUAACAUUAAAAAAAAAUUAUAUUGUUAUUGUUUUUACACUAUAAUUAAUAUAUAUUACAACAUAGACAACAAACUGAAGUUUUGAAAAAAAAAAUUAUAUUGUAAUUGUUUUUACACUAUAAACAUGACACUAGUGACUAGACAGUAGAGCCAUGCAUGCUAUGCUAAUAAAAUUUGGAGUGACAGACAACAAACUGAAAAUAUACUUUGUUAACAAAAUGGCAUUUGCAAUGAAACCACUAUCAUGGCAAUGACAAUCUUAAGAGAACAAAAUCAUAUUUACAAAAUAAAAAAUAAUUACUAAAAAUUUACUCGAAUAAAAUAAAUACCAGCAACUCGCAAUAAUAAGGACAGAGCCAAGAGAGCAGCAACAACAGAGGCAGUUAAGGCAGAGACAGAGCAGCAGCUGCGUGCAAAGAUGAAGCAGCAGCAGUGCCAGAGAGGGAGCAACAGCAGUGGCCUAGAUGAAGCAGUGGUGGCAGUGGAGACAGAGUACAACAAUUGAUACGGGCACACUGAGGGAGAAUAGAUCGGGAGAGAUAAGAAGAAAGAGAGAGAGCGUUGUUGGAUGAAAAAUGAAGAGAUAAGGAUCGAAGAGGUAAGGAAAGAUUUUUUUUUUUAAUUAUUUUUUAAUUUAGUUUUGUAACAUGUUCUCACUUUAAUAGUUAUAAAAGUGAAUUUGAAUUUAUUAUUUUAUAAUUUAGUUUAUUUUUUUUAAUUUAACCCACUAAACAUGUAUUAUAUUUGUACUUUUUAAAACGAAAAUGAAAACAAAAGCCCAA